rnacentral:tRNA from 1 species
GCCUGGGUGGCUCAGUCAGUAGAGCAUGGGACUCCUGAUCUUGGGAUUGUCGGUUUGAGCCCCACAUUAGGCA